rnacentral:rRNA from 1 species
AUUGAACGCUGGCGGCAUGCUUUACAUAUGCAAGUCGAACGGUAACAGGCCUUCGGGUGCUGACGAGUGGCGAACGGGUGAGUAAUGCAUCGGAACGUACCCAGAGGUGGGGGAUAACGCAGCGAAAGCUGUGCUAAUACCGCAUGUGAUCUGAGGAUGAAAGCGGGGGACCGAGCAGCAAUGUUUGGCCUCGCGCCUUUGGAGCGGCCGAUGUCGGAUUAGCUAGUUGGUGGGGUAAAGGCCUACCAAGGCGACGAUCCGUAGCUGGUCUGAGAGGACGACCAGCCACACUGGGACUGAGACACGGCCCAGACUCCUACGGGAGGCAGCAGUGGGGAAUUUUGGACAAUGGGCGCAAGCCUGAUCCAGCAAUGCCGCGUGCGGGAAGAAGGCCUUCGGGUUGUAAACCGCUUUUGGCAGGAACGAAACGGUGUCCGCUAAUACCGGGCGCUAAUGACGGUACCUGCAGAAUAAGCACCGGCUAACUACGUG